GCCAGACUCCUACGGGAGGCAGCAGUGGGGAAUAUUGCACAAUGGGGGGAACCCUGAUGCAGCGACGCCGCGUGGGUGAAGAAGUCAUUCGUGACGUAAAGCCCUAUCAGCAGGGAAGAAAAUGACGGUACCUGACUAAGAAGCCCCGGCUAACUACGUGCCAGCAGCCGCGGUAAUACGUAGGGGGCAAGCGUUAUCCGGAUUUACUGGGUGUAAAGGGGGCGCAGACGGCAGCGCAAGCCAGGAGUGAAAGCCCGGGGCCCAACUCCGGGACUGCUUUUGGAACUACAUGGCUUGAUUGCAGGAGAGGCAAGUGGAAUUCCUAGUGUAGCGGUGAAAUGCGUAGAUAUUAGGAGGAACACCAGUGGCGAAGGCGGCUUGCUGGACUGUACCUGACGCUGAGGCGCGAAAGCGUGGGUAGCGAACGGGAUUAGAUACCCCAGUA
rnacentral:rRNA from 1 species